rnacentral:sRNA from 1 species
GCUGGGUGUGGUGGUGCACACCUAUAAUCCCAGCUACUUGGGAGGUUAGCUUGAGCCCAGGAGUUCAAGGACAGCCUGGGCAACAUAGCGAGAC